AAAGCCCGCAAGGGUAAGUAGAGUGGCGCACGGGUGAGUAACACGUGGACAACCUGCCUUCGAGUGGGGAAUAACCUUCCGAAAGGAGGGCUAAUACCGCAUAACACCUCGGGACACAAGUUCUGGGGUUGAAAAGAGCAAUUUGCUCGAAGAGGGGUCCGCGCCUGAUUAGCUAGUUGGUGAGGUAACGGCUCACCAAGGCUUCGAUCAGUAGCUGUCCUGAGAGGGAGCACGGCCACACUGGAACUGAGACACGGUCCAGACUCCUACGGGAGGCAGCAGUGGGGAAUUUUUGGCAAUGGGCGAAAGCCUGACCAAGCAACGCCGCGUGGGUGAUGAAGUAUCUUGGUACGUAAAACCCUUUCGGCAGGGACGAAAAAAAUGACGGUACCUGCGGAAGAAGCCCCGGCUAACUCCGUGCCAGCAGCCGCGGUAAUACGGGGGGGGCAAGCGUUGUUCGGAAUUACUGGGCGUAAAGGGCGCGUAGGCGGUUGGAUAAGUCAGCUGUGAAAACCACGAGCUUAACUCGUGGCCUGCAGUUGAGACUGUCUGGCUUGAGUGUGGGAGAGGAGAGUGGAAUUCCUGGUGUAGCGGUGAAAUGCGUAGAUAUCAGGAGGAACACCGGUGGCGAAGGCGGCUCUCUGGACCACAACUGACGCUGAGGCGCGAAAGCUAGGGGAGCAAACAGGAUUAGAUACCCUGGUAGUCCUAGCUGUAAACGAUGGAUACUUGCUGUGGGGGGUGUUAAAUCCCCCUGUGGCGGAGCUAACGCAUUAAGUAUCCCGCCUGGGGAGUACGGUCGCAAGGCUGAAACUC
rnacentral:rRNA from 1 species